UCGAGAAUCUUCGGCAAUGGGCGCAAGCCUGACCGAGCGACGCUACGUGCGGGAUGAAGGCCCUUGGGUUGUAAACCGCUGUCAGAGGGGAUGAAAGCGCAAGCUUGACAGAGCCUCAGAGGAAGCGCGGGCUAAGUUCGUGCCAGCAGCCGCGGUAAUACGAACUGCGCGAACGUUAUUCGGAAUCACUGGGCUUACAGGGUGCGUAGGCGGCUUCUCAGGUCCGAUGUGAAAUCCCCCGGCUCAACUGGGGAAUGGCAUUGGAAACCGGGAGGCUUGAGUGAGCUAGAGGUACACGGAACUUCCGGUGGAGCGGUGAAAUGUGUUGAGAUCGGAAGGAACACCAGAGGCGAAGGCGGUGUACUGGGGCUUGUCUGACGCUGAGGCACGAAAGCCAGGGGAGCGAACG
rnacentral:rRNA from 1 species